AGCGAACGCUGGCGGCAGGCCUAACACAUGCAAGUCGAGCGCCCCGCAAGGGGAGCGGCAGACGGGGGAGUAACACGUGGGAACGUACCCUUCGGUUCGGAACAACCCAGGGAAACUUGGGCUAAUACCGGAUACGUCCGAAAGGAGAAAGAUUCAUCGCCGAGGGAUCGGCCCGCGUCUGAUUAGCUAGUUGGUGGGGUAACGGCCCACCAAGGCGACGAUCAGUAGCUGGUCUGAGAGGAUGAUCAGCCCCACUGGGACUGAGACACGGCCCAGACUCCUACGGGAGGCAGCAGUGGGGAAUAUUGGACAAUGGGCGCAAGCCUGAUCCAGCCAUGCCGCGUGGGUGAUGAAGGCCCUAGGGUUGUAAAGCCCUUUCGGCGGGGAAGAUAAUGACGGUACCCGCAGAAGAAGCCCCGGCUAACUUCGUGCCAGCAGCCGCCGUAAAAC
rnacentral:rRNA from 1 species